AAAUUGAAGAGUUUGAUCAUGGCUCAGAUUGAACGCUGGCGGCAGGCCUAACACAUGCAAGUCGAACGGUAACAGGAAACAGCUUGCUGUUUCGCUGACGAGUGGCGGACGGGUGAGUAAUGUCUGGGAAACUGCCUGAUGGAGGGGGAUAACUACUGGAAACGGUAGCUAAUACCGCAUAACGUCGCAAGACCAAAGAGGGGGACCUUCGGGCCUCUUGCCAUCGGAUGUGCCCAGAUGGGAUUAGCUAGUAGGUGGGGUAACGGCUCACCUAGGCGACGAUCCCUAGCUGGUCUGAGAGGAUGACCAGCCACACUGGAACUGAGACACGGUCCAGACUCCUACGGGAGGCAGCAGUGGGGAAUAUUGCACAAUGGGCGCAAGCCUGAUGCAGCCAUGCCGCGUGUAUGAAGAAGGCCUUCGGGUUGUAAAGUACUUUCAGCGGGGAGGAAGGGAGUAAAGUUAAUACCUUUGCUCAUUGACGUUACCCGCAGAAGAAGCACCGGCUAACUCCGUGCCAGCAGCCGCGGUAAUACGGAGGGUGCAAGCGUUAAUCGGAAUUACUGGGCGUAAAGCGCACGCAGGCGGUUUGUUAAGUCAGAUGUGAAAUCCCCGGGCUCAACCUCGGGAACUGCAUCUGAUACUGGCAAGCUUGAGUCUCGUAGAGGGGGUAGAAUUCCAGGUGUAGCGGUGAAAUGCGUAGAGAUCUGGAGGAAUACCGGUGGCGAAGGCGGCCCCCUGGACGAAGACUGACGCUCAGGUGCGAAAGCGUGGGGAGCAAACAGGAUUAGAUACCCUGGUAGUCCACGCCGUAAACGAUGUCGACUUGGAGGUUGUGCCCUUGAGGCGUGGCUUCCGGAGCUAACGCGUUAAGUCGACCGCCCUGGGGAGUACUUACCGCAAGGUUAAAACUCAAAUGAAUUGACGGGGGCCCGCACAAGCGGUGGAGCAUGUGGUUUAAUUCGAUGCAACGCGAAGAACCUUACCUGGUCUUGACAUCCACAGAACCUUGUAGAGAUACGAGGGUGCCUUCGGGAACUGUGAGACAGGUGCUGCAUGGCUGUCGUCAGCUCGUGUUGUGAAAUGUUGGGUUAAGUCCCGCAACGAGCGCAACCCUUAUCCUUUGUUGCCAGCGGUCCGGCCGGGAACUCAAAGGAGACUGCCAGUGAUAAACUGGAGGAAGGUGGGGAUGACGUCAAGUCAUCAUGGCCCUUACGACCAGGGCUACACACGUGCUACAAUGGCGCAUACAAAGAGAAGCGACCUCGCGAGAGCAAGCGGACCUCAUAAAGUGCGUCGUAGUCCGGAUUGGAGUCUGCAACUCGACUCCAUGAAGUCGGAAUCGCUAGUAAUCGUGGAUCAGAAUGCCACGGUGAAUACGUUCCCGGGCCUUGUACACACCGCCCGUCACACCAUGGGAGUGGGUUGCAAAAGAAGUAGGUAGCUUAACCUUCGGGAGGGCGCUUACCACUUUGUGAUUCAUGACUGGGGUGAAGUCGUAACAAGGUAACCGUAGGGGAACCUGCGGUUGGAUCACCUCCUUACCUUAAAGAAGC
rnacentral:rRNA from 1 species